UUAGAGGUCUUUGUUGCACUAUAAUUUUUCCAUUCUCAAUCAUAUUUUGGAUCUUAUUUUUCAAUGCUGGGCAUUCCUCAGUGUCAUGACCUUGAAUAUUUGAAUGAUACACACAGUUCUUGGAAAGGUCCAAAGUUGAAGAUGAGUGCUUAGGGAUCCAUCCUUCUCUUGGCUUCAAAAGUCCUUUAGCCCAUAAUCUUUGAAAAAUGCUAGUCAAAGUUUCCAUUAAGGGGGUAAAGGUACGAGGCUUCCUUACCUUAAGUUGAGAUACUUGCGGGUUGUAAGGCUUGAAACGCAUACCAGAUGAAUCAAAAAUAGCAUGAACCUGCUCAGUAUUCUGAUUGUUCUGU
rnacentral:lncRNA from 1 species